CUACGGGUCGCAGCAGUGAGGAAUAUUGCACAAUGGGGGGAACCCUGAUGCAGCAACGCCGCGUGGAGGAUGACGCAUUUCGGUGUGUAAACUCCUUUUAUAUGUCAAGAAAAUGACGGUAGCAUAUGAAUAAGCACCGGCUAACUCCGUGCCAGCAGCCGCGGUAAGUACGGAGGGUGCAAGCGUUACUCGGAAUCACUGGGCGUAAAGGACGCGUAGGCGGGUUGGAAAGUCAGGUGUGAAAUCCUACAGCUUAACUGUAGAACUGCACUUGAAACUUCUAAUCUAGAGUAUGGGAGGGGGAGAUGGAAUUAGUGGUGUAGGGGUAAAAUCCGUAGAUAUCACUAGGAAUACCUAAAGCGAAGGCGAUCUCCUGGAACAUUACUGACGCUAAGGCGUGAAAGCGUGGGGAGCAAACAGGAUUAGAUACCCGGGUAGUC
rnacentral:rRNA from 1 species